CACAGUGUCCUGGACUCUCUUGCCCGCGCUUUUCGUUCUUGGUUUCCUUUCCACGGAUGCUCUCUCAGAAGUCGCUCAGUUCGUUUUAUCCAGUGGCAGUGGUGCUUCUCUGAAUCUCGAAAUGCUGGCUAAAAGAUCACUGAAAUUGGAUGGUCUGGUAGAAGAAAAUUCAUUUGAUUCUUCAAAAAUCACAAGGAAGCAAAGUAUUAUACCUUACUCUCCAACAACUGGAACUUGUCAAAUGAGCCCAUUUGCUUCUCCCACAAGUUCUGAAGAGCAAGAGCACAGAAAUGGACCAUCAAAUGGAAAGAGAAAAAAAUGUAAUCCUCUCAGUUUAACUGAAAGAAAGGAAUCUUCAAUGGAAGACAGUGAUGAAUUCAUGAUGUUGCUAUCUAAAGUUGAGAAAUCAUCAGAAGAAAUCAUGGAGAUAAUGCAAAAUUUAAAUAGUAUACAGGCUUUGGAGGGCAGUAGAGAGCUUGAAAAUCUCAUUGGUAUCUCCGGUACAUCAUGUUUCUUAAAAAGAGAAAUGCAGAAAACCAAAGAACUGAUGACAAAAGUAACAAAACAAAAACUAUUUGAAAAGAAGAGUUCAGGACUUCUUCACAAAGAAUGUCAUCCUGACAGCUAUGAAUUCCUUAAAUCCAUUUUAAACUGAGGCAUUUAGAAGAAAUGCACUCACUAUGAGCAGCAACCUCUGCAUCUGCCUGAUCAUAUUUAAAGGAACAGAGAAAUAUUUGUAAUUAAUCUGCCCAGUAAAUACCAGCUCAUAGCACUAGGCAGAACAGCUGGGUCUGCUAAGAAUCAUUUUCCAGUUCCCUUCAUUGUAGAUCGGAUGACUCUCGCUUUAUCACCCUUGGAGGCCACAUGAAGGACAAAGCAGAAAGAACCACACACAAAACUAAUGUUUAUAUUGUGGGGGGAGGGGAUAUACUUGGCCCUGAUCUUCCAAUGAACAUAACACAAGAGAGACCAAUUGAGACUUGAAACCAUUGUGUUACUUGAACCAUUAUUUAGUUAUAUCCUAUCCAUCUCUUUCUUUCUAUUGAGGCUUCUUUGGCUGUCUUGACUUUUGUAAAUGUUUCACUCACUUAGUUGUGGUUUAUCAUUUGGACAGAAUGCUACAUCGGGGAUUUUUCUCCCCUCCCUGAGGCCUCAAGGGAAAAUGACUUCUGUAUGCCUCUUAUAUGAUACAUGAACAUACACUCCAUUCUCUUCAUUUUAAGAAGCAAACCUAAGUUUAUUGGCAACUGAGAAAACUGCAUUUCUCAGAAUGCCUCUUCCAUCUAAAAUGUACUUGAAAAUAACUUAGAAUGAUUCAUUUUUUGAUAGGUAUAUUAGUGAAGAAGGUGAAAAAUCUAUCUUUAAUAUUUUUGCAUAACUUGAAUAUCUUUAAAGCAUCCUUAUAAUCCUGAGUUUAGCUAAGAGAAGUGCUUUGGAAUUGGCUACUUCUGUGAUCUUUAUUCAUUGCUGGAUAUUUUUGGUAUUUUGGAACCUAAUCCCUCUAAGUUCAAAGUAUACUCUUAAACUGGUUUUUAAUAGAUAUGAAAGACACUUGACUUAUAAGACAAUGGCUACAGGUCUCUAUAAAAGCUACAGUAUACCUCAAUAUGAUUAAAUCAUCUGAAAAAUG